rnacentral:lncRNA from 1 species
GUAAAAAUGAUGCAACAAGAUACGCCGCAUUAUUCACAUUCCACAAUAUUUUAUCCACAUUUCCGUUUUUCGACUACCUCGUGUGUGGUCGUUGGGCAGACGAGCAAAGCCAUCCGCCAUGUGUGCUCGAUGCCCAGAGCCGCUUGGAGCAGAGUAAGUAGAGAAGAGGGAAGAUAUGCUUUUCCAAUGGCUAGGAAAAGCAGCUCUGAAGACAAGCGUUCUUGGCGCCUUUAAAUCUUCGGCAAAGCGAUCGCGGUAUUCAGGUGUAUGCCAGAGAGCGCCAGCUACACGCUAACCAAUAAACCGUUGAUUCUCCAUUGCCAGCGACGGGAGCGACAUCUGAAUCUUCUUGAGAUCCUAGUUCGCGACGUUUCAGCCACUCAAUCAAUGACAUAGCCUCACUUGGAAGGCAGCAGAUGAUACACAUACGCACGCCGCUCUGGGUGGUGGGGGGGGUGCCACCUUCGGGUCUUCAGUCUGGUCUGGUUCCGGGUGACGUAUUGGUUACAGUUUAUGGUGAAUUGUUGGGCUCACGAGAUAGCGGUUCAACUCUGAGGAAUGCGGAAGGCCCUCGUGCCAAGACGAACGAUGUUUCGUGCCAUCAGUUGCCUCACGCUCGUAGGAGUCUCGUGCAGAGUUGAGCAGUAUUUGAUCGAGGACGAAAAAAGCAACAUGAUUCACGGACAACGUUUUCUCCGAUAUGACCGUUAUACGAUAUUGCUCAUCUCUGACCGGAUGGCAGCAAAUCGGGAAGUGGCACGCCAGCUCCACAGAUACAUGGCGCGUUUCAGAGUUAUCGCUCUUUGGGCUGUCGGCUUCUCUGGCAUCAUACGUAUUAAUACAACGUGUGCGUGACUGACUAUAG